rnacentral:rRNA from 1 species
GGGGCAUUUGGACAUGGGCGAAAGCCUGUAUCCAGCCAUGCCGCGUGAGUGAUGAAGGCCUUAGGGUUGUAAAGCUCUUUUACCAGGAAUGAUAAUGACAGUACCUGGUAGAAUAAGCCCCGGCUAACUCCGUGCCAGCUAGCCGCGGGUAAUA